rnacentral:sRNA from 1 species
GAUUUAUGAAAAUGUUUUACGUUAUUGAUGCAGUGAAUCCCCCUUUGCGGCGGGGCGCUCAGUCAAAACUGAUAAUGUUCAAAUGCUCGCGCGAGGCAGUUCGACUGGCUGACUCACCGGGAGGCACCCGGCACUGCAUCUUAUUCACAAAGCCUCGUUUCGGGUUUUUUUAGUGAAAAAAAACCCGCAUCAGAGU